rnacentral:lncRNA from 1 species
UGAGCUGAAUGUAUUGGGCACGAGGGGUCCACGUAGAAUGCACUGCACAAUGCACUCAAUCCCUGCCUCAUCCCUUGAGCCAGGCGGUUUCGUCCCAGGCCAACCUGAGCUCCUGCCACGUUCCCUUGAAGACUCAUUUAGGAGCAUUUCCUUCUCUAAAUCAAUCGAUCAUUCAACCGAGUUUAGCAGUGCCCGGUUUUCAGACAUUGUUGGACCUCGAGACGGGGAAGAUGAAGGGAAGGAGAGACCAUUGAUUCUCCGG